ensembl:piRNA 21ur-13058 ncRNA
UUAGUAGACUUUUCAAACUUU